rnacentral:rRNA from 1 species
GACGAACGCUGGCGGCGUGCCUAAUACAUGCAAGUAGAACGCUGAAGAGAGGAUCUUGCUCUUCUUGGAUGAGUUGCGAACGGGUGAGUAACGCGUAGGUAACCUGCCUUGUAGCGGGGGAUAACUAUUGGAAACGAUAGCUAAUACCGCAUAACAAUGGAUGACACAUGUCAUUUAUUUGAAAGGGGCAAUUGCUCCACUACAAGAUGGACCUGCGUUGUAUUAGCUAGUAGGUGAGGUAAUGGCUCACCUAGGCGACGAUACAUAGCCGACCUGAGAGGGUGAUCGGCCACCCUGGGACUGUGACACGGCCCAGACGCCUACGGGAGGCAGCAGUAGGGAAUCUUCGGCAAGGGGGGCAACCCUGACCGAGCAACGCCGCGUGAGUGAAGAAGGUUUUCGGAUCGUAAAGCUCUGUUGUAAGUCAAGAACGGGUGUGAGAGUGGAAAGUUCACACUGUGACGGUAGCUUACCAGAAAGGGACGGCUAACUACGUG